rnacentral:tRNA from 1 species
GGAAGUUGGCUCAGUGGUAGAGCGCUUGCCUACCAUGCAUGAAGCGCUGGGUUCAACUCCUCGGUUCCA